rnacentral:rRNA from 1 species
UGGGGAAUAUUGCGCAAUGGGGGAAACCCUGACGCAGCAACGCCGCGUGAUCGAAGAAGGUCUUCGGAUUGUAAAGAUCUUUUAUCAGGGACGAAGAAAGUGACGGUACCUGAUGAAUAAGCUCCGGCUAACUACGUGCCAGCAGCCGCGGUAAUACGUAGGGAGCGAGCGUUAUCCGGAUUUACUGGGUGUAAAGGGCGAGUAGGCGGGCUGGUAAGUUGGAAGUGAAAUGUCGGGGCUUAACCCCGGAACUGCUUUCAAAACUGCUGGUCUUGAGUGAUGGAGAGGCAGGCGGAAUUCCUAGUGUAGCGGUGAAAUGCGUAGAUAUUAGGAGGAACACCAGUGGCGAAGGCGGCCUGCUGGACAUUAACUGACGCUGAGGAGCGAAAGCGUGGGGAGCAAACAGG